GCCCUCGUAGCUCAGUUGGAUAGAGCGGGCCGCAGGUUCAAUUCCUGCCGAGGGCG
rnacentral:tRNA from 1 species